ACUCCUACGGGAGGCAGCAGUGGGGAAUAUUGCACAAUGGGCGCAAGCCUGAUGCAGCCAUGCCGCGUGUGUGAAGAAGGCCUUCGGGUUGUAAAGCACUUUCAGUCGUGAGGAAGGUAGUGUAGUUAAUAGCUGCAUUAUUUGACGUUAGCGACAGAAGAAGCACCGGCUAACUCCGUGCCAGCAGCCGCGGUAAUACGGAGGGUGCGAGCGUUAAUCGGAAUUACUGGGCGUAAAGCGCAUGCAGGUGGUUUGUUAAGUCAGAUGUGAAAGCCCGGGGCUCAACCUCGGAAUAGCAUUUGAAACUGGCAGACUAGAGUACUGGUAGAGGGGGUAGAAUUUCAGGUGUAGCGGUGAAAUGCGUAGAGAUCGUGAAGGAUACCGGUGGCGAAGGCGGCCCCUGGACAGAUACUGACACUCAGAUGCGAAA
rnacentral:rRNA from 1 species